ensembl:piRNA 21ur-4314 ncRNA
UCCGGACUCCGAACGUUCAGC